UCAAGUAACUCUCCUGAUAUUCGAACUUAAGUGUCGAAUCUCGAAUCUCAUCUCAAAUGCUUUAGCCACGUAAUGCAAAUACAAGUAAUUGAGUAGUUGGGCCGGGCCGCCGGCGAGGGCGGACGCUUGCCGUAUUGUUCCUGCCUACCGGACUCUUAGUGCCUGAGUUCGCUGAGCGCGAGCGGGCUAGGAUGAUGGUAGCACCGUGUAGGACCCACCUGAAGGAGCCUUCUUGCCACGCAUGCCCAGGAACCCUGAAGGAGCACGCUUGAGGAGGGUCUCCAGCUCGCUGUCCAUCCCUGCUUCGCCAAAGGCCUCUUCGCCACUCUUCUUGCCGCGCAUGCCCAGGAACCCGGAUGGCGCCUUCUUGACUAAGGGAGAAAAUGGCGGGAACUGUGUGUGUGUAAGUGCCGGUGGGUAGCAAGAUGGCUUCCUACCUCUCCAGGGAACGGCAAGAACCACUGGGCCAUUGUCGUCCCUGAGGCCGUAGAGGGAGGCGGGGAAGGAGUCCUGCAGCG